UAGUGGCUGAACUCCUUCUGAGAU
rnacentral:misc_RNA from 1 species